AUGUUUACUGUCGGAGCCCGGGAGGAGGGCGAGGGGGGCUUCGUCAUGCGCCGGUUUCUCUCGGAGACGGGGAAGUGGGACAAAGUGACGGGCUUGCCGUCCCCGCUGCCCGCUGGGCGGAAGAUGGACAUCGGCAACGCCGUGGUGGCCUUCGGCGACCGCCUGUGGUGGAUCGACGACAGCUGGGGCGCCAUCUCCGUGGACCCCCUCAGCGACCGUCCGGAGCUCCGGUCCGUCCAGCUGCCGAGAGGCAACGAGCUCCCUGACCUGAACGGCAUGGCGUCGAUGAGGACAUUGGGCAGCCACCGGCGCAUGGGGGUCAGCGAGGGGAAGAUGCGCUACGUCGAGGUGUCCAAGGAGAAGCCGUAUGUGAUCAGCUUCUUCUCGCUCGACGACGGGGACAGCUCCUGGACGCUGGACCAUGAGACGGCGUUUGCUCCAAUUUGGGAUGAUGCACUCCUCUGUUCGGCACCCUUGGAGCAAAUGCUGGCAAUUGCCGCCAUCAACCCACUGAAAGCCAACAUCGUGUACCUUGCCUGCGGCGACAAAAUUCUUGGCGUCGAUAUGGUUACUAAGAAGAUAACUGGGAUUUCUGGUCUAGCUAUAGCUGUGCCCGAUCUCCCCCUACUACCAUGUGUGCUCCCGACGUGGCUGGAGUCAAGCCAAGUUCCAUCUGCAGGUUGGAGCAAGAAAAACACCCGUAAAAGUGAGGUAUCGCCAAACACUGUCAAAAGGGAGAAUUUGCAUGUCGAAAUAGAACUGUUGAAAUGA
rnacentral:rRNA from 1 species